ACUUUCGUUUUAUCCAUAGUUUAUUGCACAAUGAAUGUCUCAAGUAGUUCUGUGAAGACACCGAUAUGGAAAUCAUCAUUCAGAUAAAUUUGAUAUAUAUAUCUAUUAAUUUUCUACUUAGGACUAAUGGUGGAUCAUUGUAAACCGAAACCCCAGUUGUAUAUUCUUUAAGACCAUUGAAGCUUUGAACUCCACAACAGACCAAAGGUAGACAGGCAAUGCAGAUCGAGUGAUCAUUUUCUAAAAUAUGGGAUCUAUAAAGAUGGUUUCAAUGUUUGAUCAUGGCGGAGAGCGAGACCUCCACAAAUACCUCAGACCUCAGCGACAUCUCCAAAGAUAGCUCAGAUGACGCCAUGAGCGACACCUCCAAAGAUAGCUCAGAUGACGAGGAGCAGGGUCCUGUCAGGAAACGACGGAGGAUAGAUGCUGAUAAUGACAGUUCUACAGACCUGGAAGACAAUGAACUUGGAUACUCAGAUCAAACAGGGACCACCAAUCAGGAGAGGGAGAGCUCAGACCCGUUUCCUGAUUUAACAAAGGACCAGCGUGUCGUUCUCUACACCUUGUUAUUGUGUGUUGAUGAUCACCAUGAUGUUGUUGUGGGUGAUGACGUCACUAUGGGUGACAUUGAUGUCAGGAGGACACUGAAUGAGUUGGAGGAAAAAGGACUGGUGACACGUGACGGUGACAGUGAACGUUUCCACAUUCGGCGAGAUACAGAGAUAAUGAAAUCUUACAGAGAAAAUUGUCUGCUGAGUGACAUAGACAAAGACUUCUACAUCCAGGUUGCUUCAAACGGAUCCCUGAAAAUAUAUAGAGACGAGUACCUAUGGAGAGGAGUGCCUAUAACGUUGAUGAGGCUGGUUAUGGAGGGACGAGGACAGUGCGUAAAGCAUUUUAUAGGUGGUCACAAAAUGUUCCAUCAGACCUUUGUAGGUGAGGGUUUCCGGGAUUUUGUACAAGAAUGGUGUAGGGUGAAGAACCUAGACCCUAUAGCGUGGGCAGAUGGAAUUUCAUACGGGGAAGCUUUACGAUUUGUAUCAGCAUACACAAUCCAAGAAGAUCUUAUGACAGGAUUUGCAGAAUUGGUAUCCGACAACAAAAAAUGGAGCAUACUAGUUUCCAUUUUGAUGUCCAAGAACUAUAUCAUUAGUGUAAAUGCCUUAUGGGAGGAGAGACUGGGGGAAAUUCAAGGAACAUUUUCUUCGUUGAGGGAUUCCAACCAUGAUAUGAGCACAACCGAAGCCAAUGACUUGAUUAAAGAUCUAGUGCACGGCGACAAACUAUUGAUAAUGAAUGGAGAUGGUAGUAGCGGGACUGUGGGGUUUGCAUCGGAUGAUGUCCGCCAUCAGGUGAUGGGUUACUUUGUUCUAGAUUGUCUGAAUACUGACGAGGACUAUGAAAACUACAUCAAUCUGUCGUCUGUAGAUUCAUUGAUGGAGUAUGUCCGUAUAUCGGAGUACGAAUAUGAAGAUGAGCGAUGCCUGCACGUACCAUGGGGUAUGGAGGAGUUGUUUAUUAGGAGACUGGGCAUUGACGCCAUACAACUGAUCAUGGUGGAAUAUACACGUGACUUGGAUGCUGAUGAAACAAUCGAAAGAAUAAGAGUAACAGUGUCUAGAAUUUUGGGUGUCCCACCUUCUGUAUUCAACAUACACCAUGAUACAAAGAGGCAAUUGUGCAAUUUUGUAAAGACAGUAAUACAGGACAAAGAUGUCUCAAAUACAUUGAUUUAUAACAGUCUUAUUGGAUCGUUCAUGAUCGAUGAAGAUUCACAGGUAUCAAAAGAUCCACUAGACGUCAACAACAUUUCUAUGACGAAAUUGGGUAUCCUCGUGGCUCUCUUGAUGUCAGCUGGCUACAAACUGAACUUAAGCAAACAAUGGAAAAGUGACGUGAAAGAAACAAGAGAAGCAUUUCCAAUGUUACAAGACAAGGAUGCUAAGGAAGAUGAUCUUCUUGUUGACGAGUUAAUAGAGAAGGACAAAGUACUGGAAGUAGACGAGACAAACAACGUGGUAUUUGUAUCUGAUGAUGUCCGUCAUACUGUAAUGAGCUUCUUUGUCAGGAGUUGUCUCAAAACUGAAUGGGACUAUGUAAGAUACCUCAAUCUGUCGUCUGUGGACUCCUUAUUGGAGUAUGUCCGUACCUGGUGGUAUAAUGCAGAUGAAGAGCGUUGUUUGCACUUACCGGAGAGUAUGGAGGAGUUGUUUAUCAGGAGACUGGGGGUAGACGCAAUACGACACGUCAUGGUGGAUGAGAAAAAUGACAGUGAGGAUAAAGACAGGUCCACGGAAAUGAGAGAAACAGUUUCUGAAACAUUGGACGCGGAUAUCCCACAUAGCGUAUUUGAUGAAGAUCACGAUACAAGAGUACGUCUGUGCGGUUUUCUUAAGACAGCUGUGGCGGAACAAGAUAUAUCAAAUACAUGUAUUCUAAACAGUCUUAUUGGAUCGUUUAUGAUCGAACAUAAAUCACCCAUAGCGAAAGAUCCGCUACUUUUUAACGUUUCCCCGAAAAAAUGGAGCAUUCCCGUCGCUAUCGUGAUGUCCCCUGGAUACAAACUGAGCUUAAACAUACAAUGGAAGAGUCACUUGGAAGAAAUAAGAAAGGCAUUUCCAAUGUUGCAGGGCGAUUCUGUGGACGAUCAUUAUCGUAUUGGGACUUUGAUAAAGGACAAAGUACUGCAAUCGGACGUGAUAAACAACGUGAUGUUCGUAUCCGAUGACGUCCGCCAUCUUGUAAUGAGCUUUUUUGUUCGCAACUGUCUGAAAACUGACGAUGAUUAUAAAAACUACCUCAAUCUGUCGUCUGUGGACUCGCUGUUGGAGUAUGUCCGUACCUGGUGGUAUUAUCCAAAGAAAAAAGAGCGAUGUAUGUACUUACCGGAGAGGAUGCAGGAGUUGUUUAUCAGGAGACUGGGAAUAGACGUCAUAAAACACGUCAUGUUGCAGGAGAAAAUUGACAGUGACUGUGCUUAUAGAUAUCUUAAGAUCAGAAAAACAGUGUCCAAAAUGUUAAAAAUACCUCAGGGAAUCCUUGCCUGGGACUAUGCUCAGAGAUGCAGAUACGCAGAUUGUUUUAAGAAAGGAACUCGAACAAUACACAGAGCUCGCGCAAUGAUAGUUGGAUGCGCAGGGGCUGGGAAAUCUACUCUGCUUAAACGUCUACAGAAACGAAGUCUGGAUGAACUGCAAAAGGUUCAGUCUACAGUAGGAUUAGAAGUACACGAAUACAUCUUUGAGAUUACUCCUGAAUCUAAUUGUUUAAAAGAUCUACCAGCUAACACAGAUAAAGAGGGAAAGCAACUCUUGAGUGUUUUGGACUUUGGUGGACGAUGUGCCUAUUAUGUGUGUCAUCAGAUCUACCUCAACAGAAGAGCCUUCUAUCUUCUUGUCAUAGACAUGUCUAAAGCAUUUGAUGAGGAAGUUGACCCGUUACUAUGUAUGCAGGAAGGUACCAUGUUUACUGGCUGGACAUACGGGGAGUACCUUUUGUUUUGGUUGAAGUCAAUACACACCUACAGUGAAAAUAACGCCCCAGUCAUCAUAGUUGGAACUCAUCUAGACCAAGCUGUAGAACAGAACUCCAACACGCUCUACAACAGUAUACUGAAACAUCUUCAGUUCGACGAGCAUCUGAAGACACAUUUACACAGAGAACGAUGUUUCGUUCUUGGCUUUAAAUCGGAUGGUUCAUCUUUCCAAGACACACUUUCUGACCUAGAGAAGUGCAUUGUUGACAUUGCUAAACAAGAUCGAUGGAAGGAAACCAUUCCUAGGGACUGGGCACUCUCUGAACUUGUACUUAAAGAACUUAAAAGACAGGAAAGAAAAAUGAUCCCGCUUGAAAUAUUGUCAGAAAAAUAUUUUAGUAAAGACGACGAGAGAUCUACAGAAAUCCGCGAUAUCCUGAAAUUCUACCACGAGAUAGGCGUUAUACUACACUUUGACGAGAGUUCUCUUGCCGAUACUGUCAUCAUUGACAUCCAAUGGUUCGUUGAUUCCUUUAAGAACAUAAUAACCGAUCCAAACCAUGCCAUUGGUAUCGUCGAUAACAACCAGGGGUGGUGUGCCUUCAACGAAAACGGUCACAUACAAGACAGACUUUUGAGCAAUAUUUGGAGCAGCAGGCGCUUUACAAUUAACUCCCGUGACAAAUUACGCUUGUUGCAAUAUAUGGAAGGUCUUGGCCUUAUAUCUGUUGGUCAUGACGCUUACUAUAUCCCAUGUAUGAACAAACGGACCAUUGGUAUCAAACAAGAGAAUGAUUUGCAAUCCAUUCAAAGUCAAACAUCAGUAUUGGUCUUCAGAUUUCCCCUUUUGCCAUACUUCUUUUAUUUCCGUCUUAUUGUUGCUUGUUUGACAAAAUCAAAUGGAGAAUGGGAACUUCUGAAAGACAAUGAACUUUGUUUAUUUAGAAACUUGGCGUGUUUUGUCUAUAAACAGCAUACUGUGGCGCUGGCUGUGAAUAAACAUGCAAUUCAGCUUCAGGUUUUUCAACCCAGCAAUGGUCCAAUUGCGAAAGACGCCACACUCGAAAUCCGUGAAAAUAUUGAAAGAUUACUGAAUGGUGUAACUGGUAACUUUCACAAGGAGACCAGGUACACUGUAGGAUACCAGUGUUCAAAACAGGAGGUGUUUCGUGAACACAAUGACUGCUUUGUGGAAGAGAAAGACAUCCACGGGAAGGGAGAAAUUACAUGUCCAUUACAUAGACUGGCUAAUUAUCAUACCCUGAAUGAACACAAUCUUCUGUUUUAUUGGAAACAGGAUGCCCUGACCGGGAUUACAGAUGAGUAGCUGUCUACUUUCCUUUUAUCUAGUCUUUUACAGUCUUUUACAAGCGAGUAGCUGUCUACUUUCCUUUAUCUAGUCUUUUACAGGCAACACUAAGACUGAGUAAUGGCUCCCUGAAGAAGGACACGAUGGCACCGACAACAAGGUUAACGACACACGUGAUAUAAUAGCCAGCCUUGAAUUCGUCAAAGUGUUUGUGGAUAUAGCAUAUCAUCAUGAUGUCACUGCAUUUUAUUCAAUGAAAUGUGUCUCACAUUCCGUCAUAAAGUAACUGUAGGAAAACAUAUUUCAUUGACUAGGGCUGGGGGAGAGUACUCAUUUAACAAAUAAAGGGAUCUCAGAGAACUCUUGUCAUUAGGUUUGUGCAUGGUGACCUUCUCUUUAUCAUUAUGCUAUAUGAGUAUACAUAUAUUUAAUGUAAUUUAAAAAUGACAAUUUCCACCCAAAAUAUGUAUAUGUCUACCUCUUUAGCUGCGUUAGCCUAGCCAAUCACUAAUAUCACGCUAUACAGGGUCAGCAUUGUUGUAAAUAAUUUAUUUCAUGGAAUUUGUUAUCUGAUGUUUAAGACGUUAAUUAGUUAUUUAGGGUAUAUUUUGGUUAAUGUAAAACUUAUACGGUACCAAUUUUGAUGCACCAGAUGCGCAUUUCGACAAAUAAUGUCUCUUCAGUGAUGCUCAACCGAAAUGUUUGGAAUCCGAAAUAACAAUGAAGUUUUAGAGCUAUUAUAGCGAAAAACAGCGUGCCAAAAAAAGUGAAGUCAAAUUCGUCUAAGGAUAAGAGCUAUGCAUGAGGGAGACAAUCCUGAAUUUUGAAAUGAAUUUCUAAAUUUUAUAAAAGCAAUUAAAUAUACAUCCGUAUUUUCAAGCUAGUAACGAGGUACUUAGCUACUGGGCUGUAGAGACUCUCGGGGACUAACAGUCCACCAGCAGAGGCCUCGACCCAGGGGUCAUAAUAAUAAUAUAUAAUUCCCUUUGUCUAGUACAUGUAGCAUGUGCACCAGUAUUACGUCACUGCAUUUGUAGGGAAGAAACUAUCAAAACUAGGCCUACUAUGAAUUUAGCCACUCCCCAUCCCCAUCGUUCUCCAUACACUUUUGAAGUUAACUGUUGGCAUUUCAUGGUAUCUUAGAAUUCUUUUUUUCCCCAUUUUUAGUUUUGUGCCAAUUGAUGUCAAUACAUGUACUAUUGUGUAAGAAAAAAACGUAAUGUUCAAUAUUAUGCAGAUUUUUUUAUUGCUACAUUUUAUUUUUGUUUGGUUUAAAAGGAAAAUGUUUAUAUUAUUUUAUCAAACAGCUAUGUAAACAUAUUUCAUUGACUGCGUCAAGGGGGACUAUUCAUUUAUCAAAUUGAGGGAUCUCGGAAAAAUCUUAUCAUUAGGUUAGUGCAUGGUGGCCUACCCUUUAUCAUUAUGUUAUAAUGAAUAUACAUAUAUUUAUUCUAAUUUAGAAAUGACAAUUUUCACCCAAACUUUGUAUUUGGUUUCUUCUAUAACUGCGGUAGCCUAACCAGAUCACUAGUACAACAUUCUCAUUGUGUCAUAAAGUUAUUUUGUUUCAUCCAAAUAGACGUCUCUCUCAUUCUGUCGUAAAGUUUACUUACAUGUAUAUCUUUUUAGUUACUAUGAAAUAUAGAUCAGAACUAAAGUCAAUGUCAUCUAACAUCUAUGUAUAAUAUAAUGCAGUUUUGCUUAUUUAACCAUAAUAAAGAAUAAAAAAAAAAUA